UCUCCCCUCCGCGUCAAUCAAAAAAAUUGAGUGGUUCUCCGCCGGGGUGCGGGGGCGGAGGGAGAGAGAGAGAGAGAGAGCGAAAACUCAACAAGAUAAGUAGAGUUAUAUUCUUGCUUUUCUAAAAUUUCUGAUUUAAAAUAUUGAGAAAGUUUGAAAUCGUGUUUGCAAACUGUGGUGUUAACAGGUUAAGAAUCCAGAGAUGUAGAUUGGAUCUAUAAUGGAUGAUAUGCAGCAGAGCAACCAUUUCCAAACAAGACAUUGAAGAAGGAAGCUUCAAAAUAACAGAAGAUGAUGAAUAGGCAUCAAAUUUCUUCUGUCCUCCCAUCAUCUUCACCUAAACAAGCCCUAGGGAUUACACUUUUCCGUUCAGAAAUUUGUCGGUGUUGUUGGCCUGGUCAGAGGAGAAAAAAGAUGAACUGUGAUGAAAUGCAAAGAGGCAGUAAUGAG
rnacentral:lncRNA from 1 species